AGUCAUGGUACAUUGCAUCUCCCAUAGAAAUGACAGUGCUUUCAGUGACAAGCACUUGACAUGCUACAUGGAGCAAAUACAGGAAAAGGUAGGGCUAACAGGAUACUGGGGCAAAGACAGAGACAGCUUUGCUUUUCUUCACAUUAGAAAAGUGAACAGGGAAUUUUAAUUAUCUACAGGUUUUGCAAACAAGAUGUGGAUUAGUUUUGGUGGCAGUUUUAUUAAGAGGUGACCACCUGACAGGUCCAAGAAGGAGUCGGUGGGGAGAGCAAGUGUCCAUGGACCUGCCCCAGUGUUCUCCCCAGUUUUCACCUGCACCUGGGAGGGCAGAGCUGUGACCAGCUCCUCUGUGACUGCCCCACUGCCUCCGAGCCAGGACUGCCUGAAGGUACCCGAAAUACUGAACUAAACUGCAGGAAAAAGAUAUAUGUAUUUCCCCAAAUCGCAAGAUGCUGUGAGUGACUGAUUUGAGAGAAGUUUUUCUCAUACCUCCUUUGUGGAAGAAAAGAAAAAAAAUACCAAACAAACCUCCAGAUUGUUUUGGCCUCAAGAAAUAAAUCUGAUGCUUUAUAGAU